GACGAACGCUGGCGGCGUGCCUAACACAUGCAAGUCGAGCGGGGACACGGGGCUUCGGCCCUGUGUUCUAGCGGCGGACGGGUGAGUAACGCGUGAGCAAUCUGUCCCAGACAGGGGGAUAACAACUGGAAACAGUUGCUAAUACCGCAUAAGACCACGGCCUCGCAUGGGGCUGGGGUAAAAGUGGAAACACAGUUUGGGGUGAGCUCGCGUCCCAUUAGCUAGUUGGUGAGGUAACGGCCCACCAAGGCGACGAUGGGUAGCCGACCUGAGAGGGUGAUCGGCCACACUGGAACUGAGACACGGUCCAGACUCCUACGGGAGGCAGCAGUGGGGAAUAUUGGGCAAUGGGCGAAAGCCUGACCCAGCAACGCCGCGUGAGGGAUGAAUGUUUUCGGAUUGUAAACCUCUGUCCUCAGGGACGAAGGAAGUGACGGUACCUGAGGAGGAAGCCCCGGCUAACUACGUGCCAGCAGCCGCGGUAAUACGUAGGGGGCGAGCGUUGUCCGGAAUGACUGGGCGUAAAGGGCGCGUAGGCGGCUGUGUAAGUCUGGAGUGAAAGUCCUGCUUUUUAGGUGGGAAUUGCUUUGGAGACUGCAUGGCUUGAGUGCGGAAGAGGCAAGUGGAAUUCCCAGUGUAGCGGUGAAAUGCGUAGAGAUUGGGAAGAACCCCAGUGGCCAAGGCGACUUGCUGGGCCGUAACUGACGCUGAGGCGCGAAAGCGUGGGGAGCGA
rnacentral:rRNA from 1 species